rnacentral:rRNA from 1 species
AUGUGGACCUGUCUUCGUCAGCGCUAUGAGCCCUGUGGUGAUGCCUUCUACCUUUCUGUGGUUCGUCAGGAGCAUGCUCUUCAGCAGGGUGACUCUACUGUUGAUGACUUCUAUGCACAGAGUUCUGCUAUCUGGCGCCAGCUUGAUUCUCUCCGCAGUGCUGGUUGUCGUACUUGCCCCUGUUGCCAGGCUGUCCAGGCCAAUUUGGAGUUUCAUCGCGUCUACGAGUUCCUGUCUCGGCUCUGUAAGGACUUUGAGCCCCGGCGUGCUCAGUUGUUUGCUCGUGGCCGUAUUUCUCUCAUGGAGGCGCUUUCAGAGAUUCAUGCUGAGGAGACUCGCUUACGUGGUGCUGGUUUGCUGGAGGUUCCCUCUGUGCUCGCUACUCGGGCUUCUUCCACUCCACCUGCUGCACCGACCCCUUCUCGCUCGAGUGCUCCGCCGCUCUUGCCCACUCCUUCUGGAGGCUCAGGUCGCCCCCGUUCACAUUGUGACUACUGCAACAAUGAUGGUCAUAUUGAGUCCUAGUGCUACACAAAGCGGAAACACCUGCACAAGGCGCGAUCAUCAUCCUCAGGGACUUCGUCA